AAGUAAUCCAUGUGCCAAUUCCACAGAUUUGGGGGUGCUGUGUUCUGAACCCUUUACGCCUGUUGUCAGUUAUAGCUGCUCCAAGCCCUGGGAGGUGUCUCCCAGAGAUACGCACACCUGGAUUUACAGGCAGUUCCUCAUGCAGUUUUGCUGUCAUCCCAAUAUGAGAUGUCAUCUUUGGCUCGUGUUUGUUGGAAGUACUGAAAGGCAGCCUGAAUUCCGUCUCUCUUUCAAGAGGGCACCUUUCUAGGCUUGAAGAAGAGAGAAGCUCAGGCAAGUCAGGUGCUUUCCUGGGAGAAUUUCUUUGGAAGGACGGGGCUUUAAGCGUUUCCCUAGUGACUCAAUCUGACAAAAAAAUCAGGUACUCAAGAAAAAAACCAAAAAAACUCAUGUGGAAACUACUUAGGAUAUAUAAUUAUUGUAGCUUCAGUGCAAAAACACCAAGAACUAAAAUUCCAUGAGAACAAAAAACUUGACAGACCUAUUCUCAGGGCCUGGUGCCUACAAGAUGCUUCCUAAAUCUUUUUCAGAGAACAAAUUAAAAGACGAAUGGACAAAUAUUAUUGUGGUCUACUGAUGAAUUCUGAGCUUUCUGCCUGAGUGCAUAUCUACAGC
rnacentral:lncRNA from 1 species